UGGGGAAUAUUGGACAAUGGGCGCAAGCCUGAUCCAGCAAUGCCGCGUGUGUGAAGAAGGCCUGCGGGUUGUAAAGCACUUUCGGUGGGGAGGAAAGACUCUGCGUUAAUAACGCAGAGGGUUGACGUUACCCACAGAAGAAGCACCGGCUAACUCUGUGCCAGCAGCCGCGGUAAUACAGAGGGUGCGAGCGUUAAUCGGAAUUACUGGGCGUAAAGGGUGCGUAGGUGGUUUGAUAAGUUAGGUGUGAAAGCCCUGGGCUUAACCUGGGAAUGGCGCCUAAUACUGUUAAGCUAGAGUACUGUAGAGGAAGGUGGAAUUUCCGGUGUAGCGGUGAAAUGCGUAGAUAUCGGAAGGAACAUCAGUGGCGAAGGCGACUUUCUGGACAGAUACUGACACUGAGGCACGAAAGCAUGGGGAGCAAACAG
rnacentral:rRNA from 1 species